GACGAACGCUGGCGGCGUGCUUAACACAUGCAAGUCGAACGGAAAGGCCCUGCUUUUGUGGGGUGCUCGAGUGGCGAACGGGUGAGUAACACGUGGGUAACCUGCCCUUGACUUUGGGAUAACUUCAGGAAACUGGGGCUAAUACCGGAUAGGAGCUCCUGCUGCAUGGUGGGGGUUGGAAAGUUUCGGCGGUUGGGGAUGGACUCGCGGCUUAUCAGCUUGUUGGUGGGGUAGUGGCUUACCAAGGCUUUGACGGGUAGCCGGCCUGAGAGGGUAACCGGCCACAUUGGGACUGAGAUACGGCCCAGACUCCUACGGGAGGCAGCAGUGGGGAAUAUUGCACAAUGGGCGGAAGCCUGAUGCAGCAACGCCGCGUGCGGGAUGACGGCCUUCGGGUUGUAAACCGCUUUCGCCUGUGACGAAGCGUGAGUGACGGUAAUGGGUAAAGAAGCACCGGCUAACUACGUG
rnacentral:rRNA from 1 species